rnacentral:tRNA from 1 species
GGGUGUACAGCUCAGUGGCAGAGCACAUGCCUAGCAUGCGUGGGGUCCUGGGUUCAAUCCCCAGUACCUCCA